rnacentral:tRNA from 1 species
GCUUUCGUGGUGUAAAGGUAGCACACUAAAUGCGUAUUCGAGAGAUCCAAGUUCGAGUCUCGGCGAGGGCA